rnacentral:rRNA from 1 species
CGAACGAACCUUCGGGUUAGUGGCGGACGGGUGAGUAACGCGUGAGAAUCUGCCCUCAGGAGGGGGACAACAGCUGGAAACGGCUGCUAAUACCCCAUAUGCCGCGAGGUGAAAUGAAUUUCGCCUGAGGAUGAGCUCGCGUCUGAUUAGCUAGUUGGUGUAGGUAAUGGCUCACCAAGGCAUCGAUCAGUAGCUGGUCUGAGAGGAUGAUCAGCCACACUGGGACUGAGACACGGCCCAGACUCCUACGGGAGGCAGCAGUGGGGAAUUUUCCGCAAUGGGCGAAAGCCUGACGGAGCAACGCCGCGUGAGGGAUGAAGGCCUCUGGGCUGUAAACCUCUUUUAUCAAGGAAGAAGAUCAGACGGUACUUGAUGAAUAAGCCACGGCUAAUUCCGUGCCAGCAGCCGCGGUAAUACGGGAGUGGCAAGCGUUAUCCGGAAUUAUCGGGCGUAAAGCGUCCG